UACGUAGGGGGCGAGCGUUGUCCGGAUUCAUUGGGCGUAAAGAGCUCGUAGGCGGCUUGGCAAGUCGGGGUGUGAAAACUCCAGGCUCAACCUGGAGACGCCACCCGAUACUGCCAUGGCUUGAGUCCGGUAGGGGACCACGGGAAUUCCUGGUGUAGCGGUGAAAUGACGCAGAUAUCAGGAGGAACACCGGUGGCGAAGGCGGUGGUCUGGGCCGGUACUGACGCUGAGGAGCGAAAGCGUGGGGAGCGAACAGG
rnacentral:rRNA from 1 species